rnacentral:rRNA from 1 species
UACGUAGGUGGCAAGCGUUGUCCGGAAUCAUUGGGCGUAAAGAGCGUGUAGGCGGCCCGGUAAGUCCGCUGUGAAAGUCGGGGGCUCAACCCUCGAAUGCCGGUGGAUACUGUCGGGCUAGAGUGCGGAAGAGGCGAGUGGAAUUCCUGGUGUAGCGGUGAAAUGCGUAGAUAUUGGGAAGAACACCGGUGGCGAAAGCGCUCUGCUGGACCUGCACUGACACUGAGGGACGAAAGCUAGGGGAGCGAAAGGG